UACGGAGGGGGCUAGCGUUGUUCGGAAUUACUGGGCGUAAAGCGCGCGUAGGCGGCUUUGUAAGUUAGAGGUGAAAGCCCGGGGCUCAACUCCGGAAUUGCCUUUAAGACUGCAUCGCUAGAAUCGUGGAGAGGUAAGUGGAAUUCCGAGUGUAGAGGUGAAAUUCGUAGAUAUUCGGAAGAACACCAGUGGCGAAGGCGACUUCCUGGACCAAUACUGACGCUCAUGUGCGAAAGCGUGGGGAGCAAACAGG
rnacentral:rRNA from 1 species